AUCGCUGUAGCUCAGCGGAUAGAGCGCAACUUUGACUCAGUUGAAGGUCGUGGGUUCGAAUCCCAUCAGCGAUAC
rnacentral:tRNA from 1 species